rnacentral:rRNA from 1 species
GUGAGGAAUAUUGGACAAUGGGCGCAAGCCUGAUCCAGCCAUGUCGCGUGCAGGAAGACGCAUCUAUGGUGUGUAAACUGCUUUUGUACGGGAAGAAACACUCCCUCGUGAGGGAGCUUGACGGUACCGUAAGAAUAAGGAUCGGCUAACUCCGUGCCAGCAGCCGCGGUAAUACGGAGGAUCCAAGCGUUAUCCGGAAUCAUUGGGUUUAAAGGGUCCGUAGGCGGUUUAAUAAGUAAGUGGUGAAAGCCCAUCGCUCAACGAUGGAACGGCCAUUGAUACUGAUAGACUUGAAUUACAAGGAAGUAACUAGAAUAUGUAGUGUAGCGGUGAAAUGCUUAGAUAUUACAUGGAAUACCAAUUGCGAAGACAGGUUACUACUUGUGGAUUGACGCUGAUGGACGAAAGCGUGGGGAGCGAACAGGAUUAGAUACCCUAGUAGUCC